UACUGAAUUCUAAUUGAGAUUGUAAAAUGAAACUUGCAGAUUUGAUUGUCUUCUUAGAGUUCAGAGCUCUUUAGUGAUCAGAGCUAUCAGUCUUGUAAAUGGUAUAAGCAAAUGCAAAAUGAAACAAAAAAGUAAAAUAAUUCACAGUGCUGCAAAAUUAGCUCUCUCUGUGCUUGCUUCCCAUUUAGACUAUAUACAUACAAGAGCAAAAUCCACCUGGAAGAAGAAAAAACAAAGUCAAGGUGAAAACAAAAUCUUUCCAACGUCAUUCCUGUGAUGCUUUUUUUCAUAGGAGAGGUUGUCCAGCCCUGUGAUCAUCUUCACAGCCUCCUCUGGACUCAUUCAAACAACUCUGCAUGCUCCUCCAGGUCUGGACACACUACAUCAAUUCCAGUACAAUGUCCAAGUAAGACCAAAAAUAUAUGGAGAGACUUCUGUAAGACUCAUGA